UGUUCCCUGUCUAAGGUUUUUAUGUUUUGCGUUCCAGGUUUCUAGUUCCUUUGUAUUAUUUUUGUAUUAUUUUAGUUUAAGUUUUGUUUUGUUUAGUUUUUGAAAAAUUCUGCUUUUGUUUGUUUUUUGUCCCUGCCAGAAAUAAAUUUGUUGUCAGUAUCUGCACUUGGGUCCCGUUUCCACUCCACAUGUCAUCCGGGGGGGGAAAUGGUUUUUGUUUUCUGGAUUUUUGCAUGUGUUGUUUUGCAUGUUUGCUGUGUUUUCUUUCUUGUUGAGUGUUCUUAUUUUUGCAGUGAUUGCAUGGUUUUUUUAGUAUGGAUAAUUGCUGACAUGGGCCGGAAAGGCCCCGCCCCCUUCUGAUUACUAAUUUGAGACACCGGAGGGGUUGACAAAAGCAGGUUGGAGGACAUUCUCGAGGGGAGCUCAGGUGGCGGCAGCAACUGGCUUGGAGGCCCUGGCGACUGGGCUCCAGAGAGGCAACUGGGAUUAAGGAAUAUUCUGCAGCGGUGCGGGAGAUUUGCAGCUGGGGGACGGGCUGAGAGAUGCCAGUAGGUGAUAGGAUGAACAACAGCCAGAUAGCGCUCCAAACAGGUGCAGAGUGCUGAUGCCUCCAACGCUGGAAACCCAUAUAGAGGACGAGGAUGUAGACCGGAAAGAGGAAGAUGAUGUUGAAGAAGGAAUACAUGGCAGUAAUGACAGUGGUAGCUACUGAGUCCUGGCAUUGUAAGCUAGAAGAGAUAGAGCUGUUGGUGUAGUUGGAGAAGAGACUGAGGUUUUGAAAGAGAUGGCAUGACAUUACACUGUGGGCUUCUGAUAUGAACAAGAAAUUCCAACAUCACUUAGAACAAGCAUAGGCAAAAUAUACAAGGGCAGAACCAGUAGUUAGUAGCCCGCAACUGACACUUCUGCUUACCAAUAUUAAAUUUGGCCUCAUGGAGCCCUUGAGAGGAGCUCCCGAGGCAAAUUUGAGACCAUGUGGGACCAUCUGAACCAUCAAAGUUUACAGAGACCGUUUACAGCUGUACCGUUAAGGCACUUGGUGACUGUUAUUGAUGGUGUAUACCAGAGGUGAAUGGGAAUUCUGGAGUCAGAAUGCAGGCGCCGACAAGCCAACUGGAGUGUGGCUUUGACAGUGAGAGUCUGGCUGAAAAUUUUAUUCCAUGGCCUAAGUAGUUCUGGCAAACUGUCAGCCAAAUCAGGAAGAGCAAGAAGUUUUCUGCCCACAUUCAUGCCAACUAUUCAACUGGGGCGCAGUCCAGUGCUGGGAGUAGAGUCUACGAUCUCAUUACUUGCCUGUCAUAGAUAAAGAAGAGUGUGGGGACAAGGGGGGCAACAGAACUUGGGGCCCUGAGGUAGUUAAGAAACCUUUUGGUGGCUGGGCACCAGGUGUGGAUAAGUUCUUUUAUACUAGUGAACUAUGUUAAUUAGUACUGGUACUGAAGAAUUCAACACUAACUGUAUGUCAGAAUGUAUCUGUUUUAUGUAAGUGCAAUGCCUAUUUAUUUUGGUUUUAAUUUUUUUGCAGUAGUAAUUUAUUCAUGACAACCAAGUUGUUGUCAAGUUUUCAUCUUUGAUUACCCUUAUCCUACGCUCCUGCUAUGGGAGCAGACUGCUAUGCUAUAAAAUCUUGUCACAUCUCGUUUAGAUCACUGUAAUUCUCUUCUCUAUGGUCUACCUCAUAAAUCUCUCCAUAAAUUGAAGUUAGUACAGCUGCUCGUAUUAUUUCCAGAAUUAGAUCCACUGAACAUAUAACACCUGUUCUUAAACAGCUCCAUUGGCUUCUAGUUCACCUACGUGUCAAUUUCAAGAUCCUGCUUCUUACUUUCAAAGUGCAUCAUAACCUCGCUCCUCCAUAUUUAUCUGAUCGUCUCCAUACAUACUCACCCCCUCGUACACUCCGCUCUU